rnacentral:sRNA from 1 species
AUCCCCAACCCCCAACUCCUGCCUUUAAAAACAGGAGCCAAUCCUUCCCAAUAUCCAAUCCUACAAACUUGGUGGUGACUUGGGCAUCACUGAUGGAUAAUUAGGACCUAGAGUAUAAAAUGGCAGAUUGUAGCCGUUCAAAAUCCGGACUUUCUGUUUUAAUUGAGAAGAAUUAGCCUCGAAACAUUUUUUUCCUUGUCACAAUAGGUUUUCCAGUGUCUUGGCAAUAAGGAGUAGCAUUUUAAAUGACCUACAUUUGUGUAGGAAGCCACAUGGUCCAGCCCGGUAGGAUUAGUGAGGGGGGAAGAUAUUCUGGGGUGCUGACUACCCAUCAGGACAAGCAGGCUCCGACUUGGCUUCUCCAGCUCGCCAUCUGGCCAAUGCUGAUUCAUUAGGUAGGUGCCCUUCCUUCUGUUGGAAAGGACAUUUGUUCCCCAUAAUUUGCCACUUUUCCAAGUGGUUAAGGGAAAUUGGAUUUGUUGCAGCGUGCCAGAAGCGAGCAAGACUGGGAACGAGGGCAAGGAUGCCGCAAAAUGGAAAGUCCUCUGGAACCACUGGUGGUGACAUGAGAUGGCACAGCCACUUCAAGAAAGCCUGACAGCUCAUGGGAAGGCACUCUGUCCAGGAGAAUGGGUUAAGGACCUUGGAGCCAGAUGCCCUGAAUACGGCCCAGGCUCCAAUAGGUACUUCCUUGGCUUAACCCAUAAUGUCAAACACAAUCACACAGCACUGCAGCUCGCCCCAGCUCUACUCUCGAUUUGGAGGGUACGGUCAGAGAGGAUGAAGUCAUGGUGCCAGGAGCCUGAGGCAGCUGCUUGCAUUGUAUCCGCAGUGAGGAAGCCGAGAGAGAUGAACCCGAUGAGCAGGUAGCUUCCUCCUUUUCUUACAGUCUGAGACUGAGCCCACGGACACCUGCGUGCAAGAUGGGACUUCCCAGUUCAGUUAACCCAAGUUCUAAGCCAGGCUCUUGGAGAGCUAAAUCCAACGAGCGAGUGUUGGCAGAGCCAUGCUCCCUCUGGAGUGCCUCGAGGACAGUCUGCUUCUAUACCCUUCUCCAGUUCCUUGGGCUGUGUUCCUUGGCCUGUGGCCUUACCUCCACCUUCCAACCCGGCACUGUAGCACCUCCCUUAUUAAAAAGAAAUUAGUAAAAAUGUUAAAAACUAUUAUUUUUAUUUGACGUGUAUGGGUGUUUUUGUCUGCAUGUAUGUCUGUGCACCACAGCAUAUCCGGUGCACACAGAGACCAGAAGAGGAUGUGGGAUCUCCCAGGACUGGAGUUACCGAUGACAGUAAGCCGCCAUGUGGGUGCUGGGAAUUGAACCCAGAUCCUCUGAAAAGAGCAGUCAGUGCUCUUAACCACUGAGCCACAACCCCAGCUGUGGCAUCUUCCUUCUUUAGUCCUAGCCUCUUCUUUUCUAGUUGUGUCCAAUUUCCUUCUGUCUCAUAAGGACAGUAGUGCUCACACUGGCCUGCAGGGAUAACUCACCCGUUCCUUACUUGUGAGCUUCUACAAAGAUCCUCACUCUUUAUCGUGUACCAUGAACGGUCACUGAGACUAGGACCUCAUAUCUUUAGAAUCAUCAAUAAACUGCAGCCCAUCCUAGUACAGAAUGGAAAGCGAUGUCGUGUUUAUGGACCAUGUAAAUGAACAUUCUGCCUGGUGGUAAGAGCUCCAAUUAAUUCAGGAACACUUCGCAAUUACUACUGAAAGUAAACUAUUUUUACUCUCGGGUUCAACAAUUCCCUCUAAUUAGUGCUAAGAAUUCAUCAUAGGAUAUUUUUAAUUAAUUUUUUCCAUGUAAUAUAUUCUGAAUUCAGUUCUCACUGUGUUCUUGACAAUGGGCGUUCAAGGAUUAUUUGUUGAUGUCGUUUAUAGAAGCUACAUUUGCAAACAGCCCACACAGCCUGGCAAUGGGGACCGGGUGAGUGUGCAAAAGGGCUUCCACACCACGGGAUGCUGUAUCAAGCAGAGUGAGACAGUCCUUUGAAGAAAGUCUUCAAGAAUGUGUUCCCAUUGUGAGGACGAAUGAAGAGAGAAGACAGGAGAGGAGAGGACGAGAGAACCUAGAAAUACCCCGGAGGACACAGAAGGUGGGUUGUUCUGUAAGUAUGGAGUCGAGGUGAUGCUUACAUUAUUAUCAUAGGCAUUUAUUGAAUUAUUAAUUUAAAUGUUUAAUAACAAAAUAGAAGGGACAUUUAUUUAAAAGACCUGGCAGGAACUGUGUUGGUAGAGUACUGGCUUGUCAGGACUACAUAAAACUGGAAUGGUGGUGCACACCUCUAAGCCCAGCACUCUGGAGGUGGAGUACCAAGACCAGAAGUUCGAGGCCAUCCUCAGCCACAUAGCAAAUUUGAAAUAGCCUGUGCUACAUGAGAUUCUGCCCCAAAGCCAAAAUUCCUAAAUAAGUUGGCAAAUUACUAGCCCAUCCAAAUUGCACAUAUUUUUUUUUAGUCUUGUCUUCCUAAUUUCCUCUCUUCUUCCAUCACCAAAGAAAGGAAUUACCUUUCUUCCUGUGGGUUGCCAGUCUCUCCCUAGGGCCCUGUGGGUGUUCUUUGAAGUCAGGUUGAUUUCAUCAGCACGGGUGUGGCUUUGAGGUGAGAGCCAAGGACAGGAGAGGAAGGACAUCCUUGGUACUCUCACUGGUCACAGACCAAUCAUGGCGUCAAUAGUCAGACCAGCUUUAGGAAAGUCCACAGGCAGGCUCAGAGCUUCCUGUGUCCAUAGAGACACAAACCUGGGACGCCACAACCUCGUCAUCACAAUACAUUGUCUCUAUCCUGGACAGAAUGCCCAGAGGGCAGAAGUGGAACAGCUUGUCUUAGAAGACCCCAGGGUCCACCUGCCAUGUGGAUCAACUUUUCCCGGAGUCUUACAAAAACACAUUUCAUCCAACUUCCUCAGGCUAAAUUUGAAGUAAAGAACUCACUUUGUCUGCAGCUGCUACUGUGGUUAGUGUGCCUUCCCUGUACACGAAUCAUUAAAGUCUCUCAGGCUUAAUUUCCUCAUCUGAAAAAUGGGCAUAAUACCAGGCUUCCUGAAUUCCAAGCCGCCCUCUGCAGUAUUUCUGAACUCAGCCUAUAGGUUUGAGCACGUAUUCAUCUUGUUGUUGUUUCUUUUAUCCAAGAAGGCUGUGGAAAGACCACUGAUAUUUUUUAAUACUGUUAGUAAUAGUCACAGCUUCGGUCAUGUGAUUAAAAUAAUUUGCCAAUUUAACUACCACAGUUCAAUGGUUUUUAAUAGACUCCCAGAACUGCACAUCCAUCACUACAGACAUUUUCCUAAUAGCCCAUUAGCUGUCACUUUUGUCUUCCUUCAAUUUGCCUGUCCUGUGUAUUUCAUACCAACGGAACAUCAUAUGCCUUGCCUGGGAUUUCCUCCUUUCACUUAGUGUCGUGUCUUCAAGGCCCAUCCGUGCCAGACCUGGCACCAGCGUUUCGUUUCUUCCUUGGCCUGGUUGAUAUCCAGCUGUAUGAAUGUGUAUCUUUGUAUCUAUUCGUUCAUUCACUGACAGUUGUUCUUACUUUUGUGGUUGUGUAGUUAUUUCCUGUGAUUUAAGCAUUCCCUCCUCAAGACUUAGGAAGUAAAUGAAAUUUAUAAGACUCAGGAAGCAAACAAAACGUGCAGUCUCUGAGAGCUCCAGAAAUUUAAAGGAUUCACAAAGCCUAUCUCCCUGAGGUUAUCUAGGCAGAAACAAAUGCUGGGAGAGGAGAUACUCUGACCAGUGGAGUUGCUCUGACCAGGACAGCCGCACACAAGUCAUGUGGAGAGCUCUCAUGAGUCAUUGUCCACUGUGGUGUGGGUUUCCUGGUAAUACAGCUGAUUUUGGGUUACCCAGGUCCCCACUGGUAACCCAUCACCUUUAUUCCUGAAAUCAACCACAAUGAACCCAAGCUACACUUGGCCGUAAUUUUUCCUUUGGUCUGUCACCCAUACCCCAAUCUGGAAUGAGAGGACAUUUGUUUAUAUCUCCUCAGGAAAAGCCACCCGAUCCUUUCGUUUCUUAUAUCAAUAAAACUGCUCUGAGCAGUGCCUGGGAGUUGGCAUUUUCUUUCUGUUGGCUGUGUAGCCAGAGGUAGAACUACCGGCUCAUGUGUUAAUUUGGAAGUUGCAUUUAUAGCACUUUUCAGAAUCUCAGGAGUAUUUUAUAGAGUAGCUGUCUAUAGCCAGAUCACCCUGAACACCUCCAGUCCCAUCUAAAGUAAGAACACCAUCUUACAAUGCGAUCGUUAGCAUAUGCUGACUCUAAUUUCUUCAUGUCCUUGUCAAUGGCUUUUCUAUUAGAGCCAUCCUACCAAGAGUGUCUUUCUGUGCCGUAGCUACCACUUCCCCGAUGUCAGUAAUGGUGACCACCUUUGCCUCUUGGUGAUGGUUAUAUCUUACUUGGGAAGAUGCCUUAUUCAAAUCUUUUGCCAUUUAAAGUUGGAAUAUCACUGUUUAUUGUUUAAUUGUAAGAGUUCAAUUUAUAGUCUAGGUUGAAGUGCCUUCGUGACCUGGACUAGCAGGUCAUUCUUCAACAACAGGUUCCUGAGAAAGAGAGGACCAGGGAGCAGGAAGAUAAGGAGACAAGUUUGAGAUCGGGAGGUCUUGCAUAAGCCGCAUCUUAUGCCAAGCUAGCUAAUUAAGAAGCAAGCAUCUUAUACAGUUUUUAGGGGAGAAGUGGGACUGUGUCAGCAGAAAGCUAUCAUACAAAGGGACAAAGUCAGCAGGAAGCUAAUCGAGUCAUGUUGCAUGAAAGGAACACAGAGUAUUCUAAGUGCAGCACAGACAGCACACAGCAGUCUUGGGAGUGAUAACCAUAGGCCCUUAAGGGUGGGCAGAGUUAGCGUCUCAGGAACCAAAAAUCAGAGCUGUGACUCCCCCAAGGCCCUGGCCCCGGGCCAUUACUGGCUCUGCCAAGUAUAUUCCUUGUAUUAGAGAAGAAAUUGUGUUCCUUUUCUAUACACCAGGUCCUCAGGGAAAAAGUCCCAGGGCCCUGGCCCCAGGCUAUUACUGGCUCUGCCAAGCUUGUUCCUGGUUUAGAGAAGGAACUAUAUUCUCCAUAGACCAGAGCCUCGGGGAAAGUUUUGCCCUCACCAUCUUACUGGAUAAAUGAUUUACAAAUAUUUUCUCCCGUUACAUGGACUGUCUCUUCAUUUUCUUAAUGGGAUCCUUUGACUCACAAAUGGUAAUUCUGAUGGCGUUCAACUCACCUUCAUUUUCUAUUCAUUGAUUUUUUCACUGUAAUGUUAUAAUGGAGAAAGAAUUUUCUAACGCAGCAUCAUGACGAUUUCCUUUUACUCUAAGACUCCUAGAGCUUUUAUUCUGACGUUUAGGUUGGUGACCACUUCAAGUUAGUAUUUCUAUAUAGUGUGAGGUAGGAGCCCAGCAUCAUUGUUCUCAGUGGCUAUGAAAUUGUUGCAGGUGAACUCUUGGAACUCUUCUUGACAACUAGUUGACUACAUGUGGGAUUAUUUUUCUAUGGACUCUCUAUUCUCUUCCCUUCUUUAGGCUUCUCUUCACGUAGAAAGUGCUGCACAAUUCAAUUGCAUCUAAAAUCAGAAAAUAGAAGUCUUUCAACUUUGGUUUUCUUUCUUGAAAUCAUUGGGCUUGCUUUUCCAUUGGAAUUUGGGAUCUGUUUCCCAACAUCUGCAAAAGAAACUGAGAGAUUCAGUAGAGUGUACAUUGAAUCUAUACAUCAACUGAGGAAGGGUCAUCAUCUUAACAACAUUAAGUCCUUCAGCACAAGGCACAGUUCCCAUUUAAUUAUAUUUUUUUCAGAAAUUACUCAUAGAUUGUAUCCUUAUUAAGUUUAUACUUGUCAAUUUGUUCCUAUUUUGUGCUGUUGUAAAGAAGAUGGUUUUCUUAGUUUUAUCUUCAAAGUCCAGUCCUGGUCUACAGAAAUGAAAUUGCUUUUCAUUCAUGGCUGGUCUACAAAUGAAACUCUGCUACAUUUGGACAUGGGUAGGGUUUGUUGUUAUUUUAACGUUCUUUUGUAGGUUGUUUAGGAUUUUCUCUCCCAAGAUCAUGCUGCAUGCAUUUUCUUCCUCAAUCAAAAUUAUUAAUCCUUCCUCCUCUGACUUACAUGCCCCAUGAAAGGAUACUGUAGAGGAUUUUGUCAAAUUGUUACAGUAAACUUAGUUACACCAUUUCUUAGCUCUCAUUGUUCCUCUUAGGGAGAAAAUCCAUGGACCACUCUAUUCACUGCUCACAGGAAGGACACUCCUCCCUUCUCUGCUGCAGAGAGACAUGCUUGGAGGGAGAGUAGCUCAUUUGGGUUACCAGCACAAGGGAAGCACCUGAUGUGCUUUGGCCUUUGCAAGGACUCCUGAUCAGAACUUGCCUUGAUGAAGGAAUUCCUUCGUAUGUCCCACAUAUGCCCUUCAGUGCAAAGAGCAGAGCACUUGAAUGUAUAACAGCACCCUUUGUGCAAAAUGGCUCACAGCUGUCUGAGCUAUUCCCGUAAGACAAAAACAUGAAGUCCCACCCACUUUAUGGAAGAAACUCAACCAAAGGAUUGUCUGACUUGAGAUCUUAGGACACUGGACACUCCAUCAACAAUAACAACACCAGAAGAAGAGUAAACAUGUUUGGCACAGAACUUGGGCAGUCUACCCACCAUGUGGGUUCCAGGAAUUGAACUCAGGUUAUCAAUGCGAACCAGAAUUCCUGAAACAACUGAUUGAUUAGAACUGUAGUGAUUUGGAGAAAUUGGAGUGUUGUAAAUCCAGGGCCUAAUUACUCUUUAUCUUUAAUUUCGAAGCUAGCCUUUGCCCCCUAAAUGGCCAUUCCAUGCUGACCUCUGUUUGACCUAACAUCCUGUGGUUAAUGGAUUUCCAUUCACGGAAAAGUUAAGAGCAUCAUCAGAUGGCAGAGGAGACCCAUCUUUCUGUACCUUCUGAUGUUUCCAACAAUCAAUUGUUUAAAUAUCUUGACUUAUUCUUUGUUCUGUUACUACAAAACUCCACAAUUAAAGCAUUAUGCUCCACACUGAAACAUUAUAUUGAGGGUAAUCUAAAUGGUUUCUGGGCCGUGGACACUCAUGAUGUUUCCUGUAGAUAUACUGUGUUUCUUAUUCCUUUGAGAGAAGAGUUGUUUCUUUUGAUGACACAGUGCUUAGGUGCAGUUACUCUUAUCUACAGAGCCAUCUCCCCUGCCUGCAUGUGGCCUCUCUGAGACAACGGUUGACUAUUGGACCCUACUGGGGAGAGGUAUAUAGCAUUGUCAUUGAAUGGUGUACUUUGCCAAUAUCCCCUUUCAUGUUGCAUCAGAGAGAUCCUGUGUGCAGCAGUCUCCAUUGUGACAUGAGAAGGCUCUGGGAUCAAGCCAGCUGUUCUUAGGAAGUUCUGGAAGAGUGUUGGCAUGGCAGCGGCCCUUCUCUUUCAACAGCACAUUUGAUUAACUUAAACCCUGCCUGCCACACUGGAUAGCUGAAACCUGGUAUCCCAGUGACCUAAGACGGGUAAGAUAAUUUCUUGUCUUACCUGAGUAUUGGAAUCAUCCUCUCUUGCUAUUCAGUGUCCUUCAAACACUUAGGAAUGUAGCCAUGGACAGCCCAAGUCCCCCAUGUGACAAUUUUGCUCAAAGGUAGGUCAAGUGAAUAUGGUGAGCCUGGGUUAUAGGGUUACCAUGUUAUUUGGUUUUCUAAAUGGCUCAAGAGAAAUUAAAAACUUCAUGUCAAAGAGCUAAGUCCUCAACUGAAUGGGUAGGAUUAUGACAAAAUCUUAUAAAAUUAUUAUUAGAACUGUAUAAAUUAUUAAACUUAUGAAAAAGCCUCACAAAACAUUGGAGACUAUUCCUAAUGUUCAGGUUAAAAUGUCUGAGAGUAGAAGGAAGAGAAAAACAAUAUUCAAGAUGAUUUCUAUUCUAGCACCACCCAUCCCCAAAGGGGAAAGAAAGAAGGCCAUUAGGUUGUCAUGAAACUGGACUCUUGGGUUGCAAGGCCCUGACCAGGCAUAGUAACAGAAGUCAGCCUUGAGCCUUUUAACCACUGGAGGAUGGUUCAGUGGGGUCUCAAGUAGGAGCUCUGCUGGAGUUGAUGGCGUGAAGGAAAAGGAUUACCCAUCUCUUUUUGGAUUUUCCAAAGUCAGUACUAUGUAUUUGCUUGAGAUCAGGGAAGUGGUCCAAGGAUAUUUCUCCCUAAGGGAAACAAUGAGGGAGCUCUAACAAAUGGUGUCGUUAAGUUUACUGCAAAGCAUUUGACAAAAUUCGGCAUUCUUUCAAUGAAUGAAUGAUUAAUCAUUUUGAUUAAGGAAGAAUAUGCAUGCAGCAUGAGUCCCAGGAUGUGGACUGGUCUCCUGGGAGUGCCAGCAGAAAAGCUUCCCACUGUAGUAGAUCGAGAAGAGUGAACAAUUCACCAGGAGAGGAGAGAACCACUGUUGGGGUCUGUUUCUUUACCUGUAACAUGAACAACUUUCUCGUUAUGUUAGGCUAAGGGUAUAGUCCUAACAAGUUUGGUUCAGCCUUGCUCUGCAGUGGAAGUUUUUUUUUUUUUGGGGGGGGGGCGAAUAAUAGAAGUUGUAGUGUUAAAAUAAUAGCAAAUAGCUUUUAAUCCAACGUUCGUUUUUAAAAAACUGUCUUUGAAAUGGCAGUCACAGCAGAACCCACUUGUGAGAGAAGUACUUUUAGUGAUGCUCGACAGGUUCCCUGAACUCAGCCCAAGGCAGAGGAUUAUUCUUUUGCCUGAAGAGAGUGGGAACAAAAAGAGACAAGGGGAUGAUUUGCAAAUCUAAAUCUCUGUGACCCAUCUUCCAGGGAGAGGCACGAGUGUAAGCACAGAAGGGAUCUGAAGGAAUUCUGGGUUCUUCCCUCUUUGACAUUGUGUCUGGGAUUAAACCCCAUACCCUAAUGCAUGUUGGGCUGGGGCUCAAGAGUGUGGUAGGAUGGGAUGGUGUGUGAUGGGAGGGGACGGACAUUUGACUUGAGUGAUGGGUCCUUCAAUCCCAAAGGCCUUGAUUUUAAUUAUCAGCAUAUGUAGGCACACACAUGGAGCACAGAAAUUCAUGAAAGCCAUAGUGACUGGGACCUGAGAUUUUGGGUGGAAAGUUUUACAUUCAAAACAUUCAAAACCAGACAUGGUGGCAGAUAUCUUUAAUCCCAGGAUUUGGGAGGCAGAGGCAAGGGGAUUUCUGUGAGUCUGAAGCCAGCCUGAUUUACAGAGUAAGUUCCAGGACAACCAGGGCUAUGUAGAGAGAUCCUGUCUCAAAAAAGAAGAAAAAAAAAAAAAAGAAAUAAAGUAGCAAAAAAAGAAUACAUAGCAGAUACAAUGAGUAUUUUUAAAAAUUAAAUAGCAAUGUUCAUAUAAGCCUCACACUCUAAUCUAAUAGACAUUCAACACUGUAGGCUUUGCUUUGAAUCUUAAGUUUGGGGUGUUUCCUUUCUUCUCUUUCCUUCUUUCUCUCUCUCUCUUUCUUUCUUUCUUUCUUUCAUCUUUCUGUCUUUCUUACUUUUUUCCUGUCUGUCUGUCUGUCUUUUCUUUCGUUCUUCUUUCUAAUAGGAUGUUACCAAUGGUGCUGAAGCUUCAGACCCCCACCCUGACAUCAGUGUCACCUCCCCGGAGAUUGUUCACUUUGACAACACUCAAUCUCACAAACAAAAGCUGGGUUUUGGGGUGUGGGGUUCAAGAGAACACUGAGACAGAUCUCUGGGGAAUAAGUUUACUAGAAAACUUAUUAACACCAUGGACAGACAGACACAGAGACAGCAUGGCAUGGUCUCUGGAGAGAGGAAUCAGACCACACAGGCAGAAGCAGGCUCUCGUUUUAAUGCCUUUCCUGAGGAUGGAGGAUUUUCACACAAAUGUGUAGCCAGGAUAAAGGGAGCAGGGAACAAGAUGUGUGGUACCAAUCCACAAACCCCUUCCAUUGAUGUUAGCUCAUUUCCCAAAUGAGAGAUCCUGGCCCAGGGUGUUGGCCAACUGGGGACUCAUAGACAAGGUCUCAGGAGGCUACCCAGGAGGGUAUCUAUGUCUGUGAGUGGAAGCUGCUGGAGAUAUUCUGUCCUAAGCAGAGGCCGGAUACUCAAGGCUUCUGGCCCUUGAGGGACUGGUCGCUCAGUUCAAAUAUCCCUCCUUUCCCAUCACACACCACUCCCUCUUAUCACUCCAUUCUUAAACGAGCGUCCUUAGAAUCAGGAAGCUGACAUUGCACUGUGUGGUUUUACACCACACACGAUUUGCUAGUGUUUUCAAAGCAUACCGCCAUUGUCGGAGAUUUGCCCCCUUGAGACUGAGACUUGGGUCUCGUGAGUCUGCCUCAAAGCUCUCCCUGGGGAAAUUUUUUUUUGUAUGCCUAAGAGUGGAUUUGCCUAAACUUCACUGAAGAGAGAAGAUAACAAAAGUGUUCACAGCCAUCACACCACCCAAACUUAGUGCCUUAACCCAUUGGUAAUAAAUGGUUGAGCUCCUGAAUUUUCAAUGUGGGCAGAGCACAACUCUGUCCCCAACAGCAUUAGCUGAAGGGGCUCAGAAGCUAGCCUCCCCACAAGUAUUCUGUAGUGACUAAGGACCCCUUUCCACCUAAGAUAAUUCUACACAGGCUACGUGUGUAACAAUAUAGGACAGGUAUAUAGAUCAAACAUUGACUGACAAUAAACCACAGAGAGGUUCAUUUUAAGACAAUUCUUUGAGAGAUACGUAUGUGCAGCCUUACCACAUAUUAAAUAGGAAAGCAAUUUCGCACACCACCGAGAUGAAUACGCUUGGCUAUUUUUAUAUAAAGAGUGAAAUCUUGCUAGUGCAGGAUGUAGAGUUCGUCAAAGCGUUUCAGAGUUGACUGAUGCUUUGAUUUUAGGAUUAUUGAUGCUGCGACCACUGCUUCACAUAAAUACAUAGUGCACACGACAUAAGGGUGUGUAGGGACAUUUCAGAGUAAAAAUGGCAUUUGGAAGUCCUGCGCUAUCCCAAACCAAGAUUCGCUUAAUGGUUUUUAAUGAACUCAUCAGCAAUUCGAAGUUCAAGUUUUAAAAUCGAGCACUGGACGGGCAGUGGUGGAACACAGUUUUAAUACCUGGAAGGCAGAGGCAGGCAGAUCUGAGUUUGAGGCCAGCCUGGUCUACAGAGAUAGUUCCAGGAUAGCCAGAGCUACACAGACAAACCCUAAAAAGAAAUAAAAAACAAAACCAAGCACUGUGACACAAGGGAACCUAAAGAUAUAGUAAUUUAAUACUUACCUCUUGAAGAAAAUGCCGGAACAUGUUAAGUGCCUUUGUUUUCUGUAAUUAGACCAGUGUGUUUCUAUAGAAGAAUGAAGCUAUUUCUGUACAGUAAGAACAACAACAAACGCUAAAGGACUGCAGCUCAUAUGACACAUCUGGAAUAUGAGGCCCGUGCUCCAGCUGCGUUCACUGGCACUGCACGGUGGGAGAGCAUGCAAGGUGUGGUGAGCACAACGCUCUCUCACACUGUGACUUCAGAACCAAGGCCGCAGUGAGCUCUCUCAGUGCCCCGCAGGUCCCGACCUCCCAGUAGUGCAUUGGGUGGGACCCAAGCCUUUAGCACACGGUCCUUUGGCAGACACCAACAGUAUAUAGCAAGGGAGAUGGCCACCUGUUUGGUAUGGCACCAUACCACAAUUGAUGUAGGUUCAUUGGAGGCAAACGCAACAAUAUCCUGGUGGCAGAAUUACCUACUACUGCAUCUGAUCAGGAAGACAGUACAUUCAAACCACUGAGUGGAGACUGGAGUUAGGCCAGCCAUAAACUAUCCUAAUGAAGACUAAUCGGGAACUACAAUUACUGUUGACUUCAGAAUGCAAACAUGAACUUUAGACAGCGAUCCCUAUCAGCCGGUGAGGCCGGGCACAGAUGCCGAUCACUGUUUUCUGCCGUUGCUUAGCAAUGGAAAAUGAACUGUUCCUGCCUCUUAUCACGGGGGGUGGAGAUAAAAGUUUGAAUUUUGCCCGGGAGGGACCCUCCAGAAUUAUCAUUAAAGAAAAUAUACGCAAAGAACAGAAGGGUCCCAUGCUGCCCUCUCCACAACAGAGUGUGGUGAUAUCCACUGGAAGGUCUUGUUGUCUCACAGAGGAACUUCCUCCUUCUGUAGGGAGGGUCUCCUUCUACAGUCCUUGUGCUGACCUCACCUGAACCUAUAGCGAGCUCAAAGUACUUCCACACCGAAGAUCCACCUUUGGGUUCCCCGUUUUGACCUGAAGCAUCCCAAGCUCUGCCUCGUGGUCAUGCUGCCUUCUCUCAGAUGGCUAGCAUGCUCCGAUGCCUCCCUCUAACAGCAGUAACCAUGACGUUUAGAGUUCUCCUUGAAGAUCUGCUUGGCAAUCUCCUCAUCUCCAAGAUGUCAUAUGAAGACGACACACUCAGCUUCCAGGGACUGGUGUUUGAUAUCCUGGUCAUCCUUCCAAACCAACUGAAGAGAAAGAGUGACGUAAGUGCAAACAUGCCCUUCACCCUCUCCCACAGGGCUUCCAUUAGAAGCUGCGGAUUGCCAGAGAGCCAGACAUGGAGGUUUGAAUGACUGUAACCCCAGUAAGUAGACAGGAGGGUGACAGGAAGCUGCCUUAGGACACGGAUGCUCAAUCCCAUGGAGGGUCGGCUGAAUAUGGUUUUGCUGACCCCCCCCUUGUACCCCACGACAGCAGCGAUAGGCAUCUACCUGUCUCCAACACCACUGCUACUGAGGGAGAAAAACAGGGUAUAAAGCCAUUACCCCACGGCAGCUCAUCUGUGAGCAUGCCUGCCGCCAGCUGCUCUUGGCUUGGCAGCACCCCUUCUGCUAAAGGUGGCUGGAAUUCCACUGCGUGCUCUCCCACACUUGGCUGUUAAUUGAAGCGCAAAGAUAACAUCAUCAAUCCAAAAGGGUCAUGAGUCCUUUUUGCCCUCUUGGCAAGUUAAUGUGGCCUAAUAUUUGUUUAAAGCCCACCUAUUCUUUUAAAAGACACUUUGUCCAGCGGAGUUUUGAUAAGUGCCUACCCCCCUCGCUCCUUUAAGCAAUAAAGUCAGAUUUUUUCCCCUUUUCUGUCCUGUGAGCAGCCAGCUUUUCUGAAGGAAGAUUGGCUUUAUAAAUGAGAAACAGAUCCUGCCCCAUAAAAGAUCUAAGACAUGGCUAUUGGGCCCAGACCUCUGCUGGGUGUGCUUUUAACUGCUAAGCCAUCUCUCCAGCCUAGUUUAAAAAAAUAAUUUCUGUCUAAAUCGUAUUUUUAUUAUUACAAAUAAGGGAGGGGAUCCAAAGGGAUCCACCACCACGCCCAACCCAAAACCCCUCCGCAAAUCUGAACAGAAGUGGUCAAAAUGACCCCAUUCCAAGACCCGUAGUCUGCAAAGAAAACCACACAUUUGAAGCAUUGAAGAGAUUUGUAAAGGUACAGACGCUGAACCCCAGCUCCGGAGAUCCUGAUUUAGCUGUUGUGAAGCAGAUCGGAGAGCAGUAUUUUUAAGAACACAUCCCCAGACAAUUCUAAUGGGCAGCUGGAGUUGGAAAGCACCAGACCAUUGAAAUAAAUUGCCACACAGCACAUCAUUCAUAAAUGUCUCUUAAAAACACAAUGCCGCCGAGUGAUCGGUACUUUAGAGCCACCGUGUCCCCACGCUGCCAGCCCAGUAGGUUCUCUCUAAUUUUUAUUGAAGUAUCACCGCCAGAAAGAGACACGUGCUCACUGCAUUCUCUGCAGCACUGCUGCUGAUAGCAAGAGAAUUUACAUUUUCAAUAUCUGUCAACGGGAGGGAUGGAGGCAUUGAACACGCUCCUGCAACGACCUGUCAUGCGGCAGCUAAAAUGAAUGAACUAGAUAUGCAACAGUCGAAGCCAGUGUCACCGGAUUCAGCGGUGAGCGAAAAGAAUCCAUUUCAGGGGGGGAAAAAAUUCUAGCGUGAUACUAUUUGUGCUGGAAGUGUUAAAAAAGGAAAGCUCUGAAUGGCUGGAGUGUGGUAGGAGGCAGACACCGAGGUGAAC